UUUGCUAGUCACAUUUAAUUACCAACGGGGCCCGUUGCAAACCAAGGCCCGCUGGUAUUCAAACGUUAAUGCUCGGUAAUUAGACUGACCAAAUUGGCCAGUUUAUUUUCAACCUACUGCUACAGUAUCUACAAAGUUAAAUAAGAUUUCAUUUUUACCCUUCUUUCUCCUGAGUUGCAGAUAUUUCCGAUGGAUUCCUCUUGUGCCUCGGCGGCAUAUGCUUUUGCGACGCCGGCUUUCUCGAGCGGGAUUUUCCGGCUGUCGGCUUAGCCACUUUCUUGUGCUUCUUGCUGAUGUGAGCGAGGCGGAGGCUGAGGCAGUUGGUGAGGAUGACUCUGCUUCAUCAGGUCUUGCCCCGAGCGGACGCCUCCAGCAACCGGUCGGCGACGUCGCGUGCGGCGUGGCCGGAAUCGGGGCUGCGGAGGUGGCGGAGGGCGUCGAUGAGCUUCGACGAAUAGACGUGUUGCUCCUCUUGGGCGUCGACGUGAUUGACAAAUCAAAGGAAAUCUAAUUUCCAAUACAUCAAUCUCAAAUUUCACUCACACAAAGCCUUCACUAAUGCCAACAAAGUAGAAGUAAACACACACAAACACACCUCUCUCUUACACACACAUCAAAUAUUUCAAUUUCAAUGGUUUUCCUCUCUCUCUCUCUCUCUCCCUCUAGUUCAUUGCUGUUCGAGACUGCAGCUCGUAGUAGUCUGUGUUAUCCGAACACUUAUUUUUGGAGAAUUUGUGUAUGGAUAGCGAAAUUUUGAUCCGUCGAAGAAGCAAUUUAUGCUAAACCUAAGAGAAAAGUUCACUGGAUGGAUAACAAUGGAGAUAAGCUUGCAGAAAUCUUGGAGUUUCAACCGAGGUAAUUGGGAUAUUUUUUGUUUUUGAUGUUUUGUGUUGUUGAUACUGCAUGAUUUAUGGUCAGGUUAUGACAUUGGAUUCUUGUAAUUGUGCUCAUUGCUGAUGUUAGUUCUUGAGUUUUUCAAUAUGCUGUUCAAUUUAUUACUAAGGAACUGCACUAAGUUGCAUAAAUUUGGAGGAUGCUUAUUCAAUGGCAUAGAAUCAAAUAAUCAAUGUUGUUAUAGAAUAUACAUGGUUGAAGGGAUGAUCUUGUUGGUGGCUAUGCUCGAUUUUUUGCUCCCUUUUGUUUUCAAUCAUAUGUUGAUGCUACAGUAUGACAUAUCGUAGAUUUAAACUGAAAUUGAUGAGGAUCUGCAACUAUGGUGUUCAACAUUUAAUCAUCAUUUUAUUGUUUCUAAAAUAUUGAGGUACAAAACUAUAAACCAUAUAUAUGGAGGUUGUCAAUAUGUUAUACUAUGUGAUAAGGAUAAUGUCAAUAUUGGUUGAACUGCGUAGUUUCAGACAUUAUUCAGAACUUAUCUAACAUUUGCUUUGCUCUUCAAUUGGUGUUGUAUGAUGCUCAUUAUAAGUUUCAAACCUUAUUAAGAACUUAUCUCUUAAGCCUCAAGUGUAUGGAAGCCAUUGCAUUUAAAGUGAAACAAAUUUACUUUACAUUAGCAGUAGGUUCUCUAUUGAUGCUACAAAUGAAUAUAUAAUUGCUUGUCAUUUGCCUCAUGUAAUGUUCCAUUCUUUUACCUUGCAGUGAUAUGAGUGACUCAGAAAAUGACAAGUCAGAUUCUUGCAUCUGUAGAAUAAUGUAGAUCGGAUUCAUGAGAUCAUCCACUAGUAACAUUCUGGUGGAUAUGUGAGAUGUAAGUUUUCUUCUAGUGGAAAAUUGAUCUGCAGAACUUCAUUUUCCAUGGAUCGCAUUCAUAUAACUAAAAUGACAUCUCGCCUUUAGUCGAGCAGAAUUUUCUUGAAGCAUACAAGUAGCCAAAGGAAGACAUCGGAAAUGGUUUCGGGAUUCUCAUGACUAUCAAUAUAUCAUCUGAGUUUUCUCUUUUUACUAGGUAGCAUAUAAAGAUUAGUUUAGUGUGUGCAUUCUAUUCUAAGAAACAUGUAAUUGCUUCCAUUUGCUUCCUGUUUCCCACCUCUGUACAAAGUGACAAUUUUGUGUAUCAAGUUGAUUUCUUUGAGCAAUAUAUGUUUGGAUUUUCCUCA
rnacentral:lncRNA from 1 species